AGAACGAACGCUGGCGGCAUGCCUAAUACAUGCAAGUCGAACGAACUCUUCGGAGUUAGUGGCGCACGGGUGCGUAACGCGUGGGAAUCUGCCCCUUGGUUCGGAAUAACAGUUGGAAACGACUGCUAAUACCGGAUGAUGACGAAAGUCCAAAGAUUUAUCGCCAAGGGAUGAGCCCGCGUAGGAUUAGCUAGUUGGUGAGGUAAAGGCUCACCAAGGCAACGAUCCUUAGCUGGUCUGAGAGGAUGAUCAGCCACACUGGGACUGAGACACGGCCCAGACUCCUACGGGAGGCAGCAGUAGGGAAUAUGGACAAUGGGCGAAAGCCUGAUCCAGCAAUGCCGCGUGAGUGAUGAAGGCCUUAGGUUGUAAAGCUCUUUUACCCGAGAUGAUAAUGACAGUAUCGGGAAGAAUAAGCCCCGGCUAACUCCGCGCCAGCAGCCGC
rnacentral:rRNA from 1 species